rnacentral:rRNA from 1 species
UAGGGAAUCUUCGGCAAUGGGGGGAACCCUGACCGAGCAACGCCGCGUGAGUGAAGAAGGUUUUCGGAUCGUAAAGCUCUGUUGUUAAGGAAGAACGAGUGUGAGAAUGGAAAGUUCAUACUGUGACGGUACUUAACCAGAAAGGGACGGCUAACUACGUGCCAGCAGCCGCGGUAAUACGUAGGUCCCGAGCGUUGUCCGGAUUUAUUGGGCGUAAAGCGAGCGCAGGCGGUUAGAUAAGUCUGAAGUUAAAGGCAGUGGCUCAACCAUUGUAGGCUUUGGAAACUGUUUAACUUGAGUGCAGAAGGGGAGAGUGGAAUUCCAUGUGUAGCGUUGAAAUGCGUAGAUAUAUGGAGGAACACCGGUGGCGAAAGCGGCUCUCUGGUCUGUAACUGACGCUGAGGAUCGAAAGCGUGGGGAGCGAACAGG